AUGCGGUCCUGCUUGCGCUUGAGCUUGGCCACCCUCGUCGCCUCCCGCUCGGAUUGCUCAAUGCCGAGCCGGAGCGUCUUGGCAUUGAUCCUUCGGCCCCGUCGGGCGUCUGUGUCCGUUGUCGUAACUGAUCAGCGGUACACCCACUGGAGGAGACGCUCAUCCUCGCCGGGCACCGCCGGCAUCACGCGUUGGCGGCCGGAGGUCCUCGCAGCCGUGUACGACGUGCCCCCCAUCUUCCUUGCCCUCUGCCUCUCGCGGCGGGCGGCGCGCGCCUCACGUUCCACAGUGCGCAUCCGCGACGAAAGCAAAGCGAGCACUAGAACCCACCGCUGCCCACGCGGAGCAGCGGCCAGAGGUGGAGGAGGCAGACGGAACGGGCGGCGCUGA
rnacentral:rRNA from 1 species